rnacentral:rRNA from 1 species
UACAGAGGGGGCAAGCGUUGUUCGGAAUUACUGGGCGUAAAGGGCGCGUAGGCGGCCUUCUAAGUCGAACGUGAGAUCCCCGGGCUCAACCCGGGAACUGCGUCCGAUACUGGAAGGCUUGAAUCCGGGAGAGGGAUGCGGAAUUCCAGGUGUAGCGGUGAAAUGCGUAGAUAUCUGGAGGAACACCGGUGGCGAAGGCGGCAUCCUGGACCGGCAUUGACGCUGAGGCGCGAAAGCCAGGGGAGCAAACGGG